CCAAUAGCGUAUAUUAAAGUUGUUGCAGUUAAAAAGCUCGUAGUUGAAUUUCGGGAUCAAUAUAUCGGUCGUGCCUCCGGUAUGCACUGGUAUUAUUGAUUUCUACCUUCUGACGAACUGUGAUGUCAUUAAUUUGGUGUCAUGGGGAAUCAGGACUGUUACUUUGAAAAAAUUAGAGUGUUUAAAGCAGGCACACGCUUGAAUACAUUAGUAUGGAAUAAUGAAAUAGGACGUUUGACCCUAUUUUGUUGGUUUCUAGGAUCGACGUAAUGAUUAAUAGGGAUAGUUGGGGGCAUUAGUAUUCAAUUGUCAGAGGUGAAAUUCUUGGAUUUAUUGAAGACUAACUACUGCGAAAGCAUUUGCCAAGGAUGUUUUCAUUAAUCAAGAACGAAAGUUAGGGGAUCGAAGACGAUCAGAUACCGUCGUAGUCUUAACCAUAAACUAUGCCGACUAGGGAUCGGAUGAUGUUAAUUUUUUAAUGACUCAUUCGGCGCCUUACG
rnacentral:rRNA from 1 species